AAUUAACAUUAUAACGGCGUAAAGGGUGGUAACAUGCUAUCCAAGUAACUAAGAUUAAAAGGCGCCUAAGUCGUCACAAGCCCAAGGCGCCCAUAAGGCCUCUUUAAAGAAAAUCUUAGACUGACGAUUAAUUGAAAUCCACGAAAGCCAGGGCCCAAACUGGGAUUAGAUACCCCACUAUGCCUGGCCCUAAAUCUUGGCGUUCGAUCUUACCGGAGCGCCCGCCCGAGAACUACGAGCAUAAACGCUUAAAACUCUAAGGACUUGGCGGUGCUCCAAACCCGCCUAGAGGAGCCUGUUCUGUAAUCGAUGAUCCACGAUAUACCUCACCAUUUCUUGCUCAACAACAGCCUAUAUACCGCCGUCGCCAGCCCACCCUCCCUGAUGGUUCAACAGU
rnacentral:rRNA from 1 species